UUUGGUGCUACAGAGUUGACGGAUGAUCCUACAUGGAUUGUUGACCCACUUGAUGGGACAACUAACUUUGUGCACGGGUUCCCGUUUGUUUGUGUUUCUAUUGGUCUCACCAUUGGAAAAGUCCCAACUGUCGGUGUCGUGUAUAAUCCAAUUAUGAAUGAGGUAUAUACUCCGAGGAAUGCGCCUUAUGCUAGUGAGGAAUUGAUGUGGUUCGU